GAGCCAAGCUUGCUUGGUGGAUCAGUGGCGAACGGGUGAGUAACACGUGAGCAACCUGCCCUGGACUCUGGGAUAAGCGCUGGAAACGGCGUCUAAUACUGGAUAUGAGACGUGAUCGCAUGGUCGUGUUUGGAAAGAUUUUUCGGUCUGGGAUGGGCUCGCGGCCUAUCAGCUUGUUGGUGAGGUAAUGGCUCACCAAGGCGUCGACGGGUAGCCGGCCUGAGAGGGUGACCGGCCACACUGGGACUGAGACACGGCCCAGACUCCUACGGGAGGCAGCAGUGGGGAAUAUUGCACAAUGGGCGGAAGCCUGAUGCAGCAACGCCGCGUGAGGGAUGACGGCCUUCGGGUUGUAAACCUCUUUUAGCAGGGAAGAAGCGAAAGUGACGGUACCUGCAGAAAAAGCGCCGGCUAACUACGUGCCAGCAGCCGCGGUAAUACGUAGGGCGCAAGCGUUAUCCGGAAUUAUUGGGCGUAAAGAGCUCGUAGGCGGUUUGUCGCGUCUGCUGUGAAAUCCCGAGGCUCAACCUCGGGCCUGCAGUGGGUACGGGCAGACUAGAGUGCGGUAGGGGAGAUUGGAAUUCCUGGUGUAGCGGUGGAAUGCGCAGAUAUCAGGAGGAACACCGAUGGCGAAGGCAGAUCUCUGGGCCGUAACUGACGCUGAGGAGCGAAAGGGUGGGGAGCAAACAGGCUUAGAUACCCUGGUAGUCCACCCCGUAAACGUUGGGAACUAGUUGUGGGGACCAUUCCACGGUUUCCGUGACGCAGCUAACGCAUUAAGUUCCCCGCCUGGGGAGUACGGCCGCAAGGCUAAAACUCAAAGGAAUUGACGGGGACCCGCACAAGCGGCGGAGCAUGCGGAUUAAUUUCGAUGCAACG
rnacentral:rRNA from 1 species